rnacentral:rRNA from 1 species
CCUACGGGAGGCAGCAGUGGGGAAUAUUGGACAAUGGGGGGAACCCUGAUCCAGCCAUGCCGCGUGUGUGAAGAAGGCCCUCGGGUUGUAAAGCACUUUCAGUGAGGAAGAACGCCUGGUGGUUAAUACCCAUCAGGAAAGACAUCACUCACAGAAGAAGCACCGGCUAACUCCGUGCCAGCAGCCGCGGUAAUACGGAGGGUGCGAGCGUUAAUCGGAAUUACUGGGCGUAAAGCGCGCGUAGGUGGCUUGAUAAGCCGGUUGUGAAAGCCCCGGGCUCAACCUGGGAACGGCAUCCGGAACUGUCAAGCUAGAGUGCAGGAGAGGAAGGUAGAAUUCCCGGUGUAGCGGUGAAAUGCGUAGAGAUCGGGAGGAAUACCAGUGGCGAAGGCGGCCUUCUGGACUGACACUGACACUGAGGUGCGAAAGCGUGGGUAGCAAACAGGAUUAGAUACCCGGGUAGC